UCUCUUCCAAGCUCCAGCCACAUUUUACCUUUUGUUUCCUGAACAUUCUUCUUUCUAGAAAUUAAUUCAAAGAACAAAGAAACCUUUCCUAUUCUCAUAGCUGAAUCAGACUAAAAAAAGGGAAAUCUCAUGGUAUUCUCCAUCUGUAAUUCAUCUUUACGUCUGUCGACUCUGCAUCCCUAUGCAGUAAGGACAGAUCUGGUUCAUUCCAAAUCGAGGGCUUUUUGGAUACAUAUAAUUGCUGACAAGCCCAACACUGAAGCGGACAAAAGAGAUGAUACAAGGAAUGUUAUAUAAGUUGAAGAUUCACCUCCAACUUUUCCUAAGAGACGGAAAUUGACAUCAAAGCUAUGGAAUGAUUUUGUAAAAUUUAAGUGGCCAAAAGGAAAUGAAAUUGCAAAGUGCAAGCAUUGUUGUAAAGAAUUUGUAGGAGAAAGUGGUAAAGGAACUAGCUACUUAAAGUAUCGCUAGGAUAGGUGUAAUAGGAAAGUUAGCAGAGACAUUGGUCAACAAAUGCUAUCCAUAUCCAAAAGUUCCCCAGAGGCUGCUGCCAUAGUUCAAAAUCACGUUUGACCAAUUGAAAAGUAGGAUGGAUUUUGCUAAGGUGGUUAUCAUGCAUAAUUAUCCUUUUAAUAUGGCUGAACAUGAAUAUUUUGUGAUAUUUUGUAAUGGUUUGCAACCAAUGUUUAAGCUUGUGUCAAGAAAUACAGUGAGGUCUAAUAAUGCUAAAUUCCCUAGUUUAAGCUUGUGUCAAGAAAUACAGUGAGGUCUAAUAAUGCUAAAUUUCUUACUCUUUGAAAAAUUGCUCGGGACAUAUUUAGCUAUUCCAGCAACUAAUGUUGCAUCCAAGGCUGAAUUUAGUGUGGGAGGAAGAGUAAUUGAUGAUUUUCUUGCUUCAUUGCUUCCGAAAACUGUAGAAGUUUUGGUGACCACACAAGAUUGGCUCCCUUUCCUGAAAAAAAAGAGCUUGGUGGACUAGUGGGUGAUAUGAUAUGGAGAGAGAGCUCAAACUUAAAAAGCUGUGCUUGAGAAUUUUUUUCUUCGUUUUUGUUGCUCACUCUAUCUAGAACAUUUGUUGGAUAUGUAGUCAUUGCAAUAUUUCAUAUUUUGGUUCCUUUUUAAUUUGGUAUUA